rnacentral:rRNA from 1 species
CGAGUUGUAAUUUGUAGAGGGUGCUUCGGGCGCGCGACCGGCCUAAGUUCCUUGGAACAGGGCGUCAUAGAGGGUGAGAGUCCCGUCCGUGGCCGGCCGUCACCCCCGGGUGAAGCCCCUUCGACGAGUCGAGUUGUUUGGGAAUGCAGCUCAAAAUGGGUGGUAAAUUCCAUCUAAGGCUAAAUACCGGCCAGAGACCGAUAGCGCACAAGUAGAGUGAUCGAAAGAUGAAAAGCACUUUGAAAAGAGAGUCAAACAGUACGUGAAAUUGUUGAAAGGGAAGCGCCGGCAACCAGACGUGCCCGCGGGCGAUCAGCCGGCCUUCGGGUCGGCGCACUCGCCCGCGAUCAGGCCAGCAUCGGUCGUGGGGGUCGGACAAAGGUGCGCGGGAACGUAGCUCCUCUCGGGGAGUGUUAUAGCCCGUGCCGCCAUGCGGCCACCCGCGACCGAGGACCGCGCUUCGGCUAGGAUGCUGGCGUAAUGGUUGUCGGCGACCCGUCUUGAAACACGGACCAAGGAGUCUAACAUCCAUGCGAGUGUUUGGGCGUCAAACCCCGGCGCGGAAUGAAAGUGAACGGAGGUGGGAGCUCCGGCGCACCAUCGACCGAUCCUGAUGUCUUCGGAUGGAUUUGAGUAGGAGCAUGGCUGUUGGGACCCGAAAGAUGGUGAACUAUACGUGAAUAGGGUGAAGCCAGAGGAAACUCUGGUGGAGGCUCGCAGCGGUUCUGACGUGCAAAUCGAUCGUCAAAUUUGCGUAUAGGGGCGAAAGACUAAUCGAACUAUUGAUCGAGCGGCGCGGGCUGCGAGGUAGUUGAGGAUCGGCCGUCCCGCCCGCGGGGACGUGCCCUCAGUCUUGCGUAGACGACAUCGCUAGUUGCGUGGACGGCCCCCCCCCCCCUCCCCYUUCCGACGCGGGGAGGGGGUGGCCGACACGCUGCGGUCCUCCCCGGACCGUCGACAGACCAGACAGCGAUGGCCGGCUCCCGGGGGAGCGCGGUUCAGAGAUGGCCGAGUCCCCCUCCGCAGGGAGGGGAGGGUAAAACGCUAGUAGCUGGUUCUUGCCGAAGUUUCCCUCAGGAUAGCAGUAACGUCGUCAGUUUUAUGAGGUAAAGCGAAUGAUUAGAGGCCUUGGGGUUGAAACAACCUUAACCUAUUCUCAAACUUUAAAUAUGUAAGAAGUCCUUGUUACUUUGUUGAACGUGGACAUUCGAAUGUACCGUUACUAGUGGGCCAUUUUUGGUAAGCAGAACUGGCGAUGCGGGAUGAACCGAACGCGAGGUUAAGGUGCCGGAAUGGACGCUCAUCAGACACCACAAAAGGUGUUAGUUCAUCUAGACAGCCGGACAGUGGCCACGGAAGUCGGAAUCUGCUAAGAAGUGUGUAAAAACUUACCGGCCGAAUGAACUAGCCCUGAAAAUGGAUGGCGCUCAAGCGUCCUACCCAUACCUCGCCGUCAGGGUAGACACGAUGCCCUGACGAGUAGGCAAGCGUGGGGGUCCGUACGAAGCCUCGGGCGUAGCCCGGGUCGAACGGCCC